rnacentral:rRNA from 1 species
UACAGAGGGGGCAAGCGUUGUUCGGAAUUACUGGGCGUAAAGGGCGCGUAGGCGGCCGCCUAAGUCAGACGUGAAAUCCCUCAGCUUAACUGGGGAACUGCGUGUGAUACUGGAUGGCUUGGAUUUGGGAGAGGGAUGCGGAAUUCCAGGUGUAGCGGUGAAAUGCGUAGAUAUCUGGAGGAACACCGGUGGCGAAGGCGGCAUCCUGGACCAAUAUUGACGCUGAGGAGCGAAAGCCAGGGGAGCAAACGGG